rnacentral:rRNA from 1 species
AGCUAGGCCUAACAUUGUUAGGUCGCCAGCUUCUUAGAGGGACCAUCGGUGUUUAACCGAUGGAAGUUUGAGGCAAUAACAGGUCUGUGAUGCCCUUAGAUGUUCUGGGCCGCACGCACGCUACACUGAUGAAGUCAUCGAGUUCAUUUCCUUUAUCGGAAGAUAUGGGUAAUCUUUUGAAACUUCAUCGUGCUGGGGAUAGAGCAUUGCGACUAUUGCUCUUGAACGAGGAAUCCCUAGUAAGUACAAGUCACUAGCUUGUGCUGAUUACGUCCCUGCCCUUUGUACACACCGCCCGUCGCUACUACCGAUUGAAUGGCUUAGUGAGGCCUUCGGAUUGAAAUUCGGAGACUGGCAACAGACUCUUGGUUUUGAAAAGUUGGACAAACUUGGUCAUUUAGAGGAAGUAAAAGUCGUAACAAGGUUUCCGUAGGUGAACCUGCGG